UACGUAGGUGGCAAGCGUUAUCCGGAAUUAUUGGGCGUAAAGCGCGCGUAGGCGGUAAAAUAAGUCUGAUGUGAAAGCCCCCGGCUCAACCGGGGAGGGUCAUUGGAAACUGUUUUACUUGAGUACAGAAGAGGAGAGUGGAAUUCCAUGUGUAGCGGUGAAAUGCGCAGAGAUAUGGAGGAACACCAGUGGCGAAGGCGGCUCUCUGGUCUGUAACUGACGCUGAGGUGCGAAAGCGUGGGGAUCAAACAGGGAUUAGAUACCCUGGUAGUCCACGCCGUAAACGAUGAGUGCUAAGUGUUGGGGGGGUUUCCGCCCCUCAGUGCUGCAGCUAACGCAUUAAGCACUCCGCCUGGGGAGUACGACCGCAAGGUUGAAACU
rnacentral:rRNA from 1 species